UACAGAGGUCUCGAGCGUUGUUCGGAUUCAUUGGGCGUAAAGGGUGCGUAGGUGGUCAGGUAAGUCGGAUGUGAAAUCCCGGGGCUCAACCUCGGAACUGCAUUCGAUACUGCCUGACUGGAGCACUGGAGAGGAGAUUGGAAUUUACGGUGUAGCAGUGAAAUGCGUAGAUAUCGUAAGGAAGACCAGUGGCGAAGGCGGAUCUCUGGACAGUUACUGACACUGAGGCACGAAGGCCAGGGGAGCAAACGGG
rnacentral:rRNA from 1 species